UUGUACAGCUAAUAUAGCUGGAAUGACAACGAAAGCCAGACACAUUAAAUCUACAAAUGGCCGCGCCCCCACUUACAGAAAAAAAUUAAGGGGCAUAUGUUUAUUCAUAUGUUUAUUUAUGUGACGUAAGCGUGUGACUUUUAAUUCGUGACGUGCUUUCAUGGGCGUGCGCGUGGACCGAAUGGAGUUGCCAUGGAAACGGAGCCCAACACUGCAAAUAUCACAAGGAAACACCCCGUUUCUCGCCGAUUACACUGUUUUCAGGAAUGGUUUAAUGUCUUCGAAAAAGUCCGUUAGCAUUUCUACCGUUUUCAGACGACGUAUGGUCAGUGACAAAAUAAUCCUUCUACAACAGAAGGGAGUGUCCAAGAUUUUAAUAUUUCUGAAGGGAGCUGCUGACAGAGAUCUAGGAAGCGCUGAAAAGAUUCUCCAGUGCUGAUGGCCUGCUGCAUCCAGCAGAGUCGGAGUGAACCUACUGUAAGACAACAUCUCCAAGAUGCUAUUGACCAUAAGACUAGUACAGGUUAUUAGAAACUGCACAGCACAGGACUUGCAGGACUUGUGAGGACUUCAGAUGAUACCAGUACUCAAAAGACCUUAGAUGAUGGCAACUAUAGAUGGACAUACAAACUACCGCCACUGCAAAAAAGAUUAUAAUUUGAAAGAAGUUUAUAAUGCAUGUUCGCUACUCCCAAUUCAGAAGACUGAAUCAGCCUGUGUAUCUGAAUGUUUCUCAUACUCACUCCUCUCUGCCGUGUCUGAAUUUGGGAUUUUCCUUAGCUGUCAGUUAAAAACGUAAAAAUUAAAAGAAAUAAACAUUUGAAAUAUAUCAGUCUGUGUGUAAUGAAUAAAUAUAAUAUACAAGUUUCACUUUUUGAAUGGAAUUAGUGAAAUAAAUCAACUUUUUGAUGAUACUCUAAUUAUAUGACCAGCACCUGUAUCAUUGCUCUUUUGUUGAUUUUGAUUGCUUCCAUUGUCCUCAUUUGUAAGUUGCUUUGGAUAAAAGUGUCUGCUAAAUGUAAAUGUAAUGUUAAUGUGUAUUUAACUAUAUUUAUAAAUAUUUAUCUGUAUUUUUUUAUUUUGUAACAAUGUAAAUGUAUUUGUUUUAUAUCUAUACAUGCAGUUGUAUUCAUGUAUGUAUAUUUAUUUGUCUAAUUUUUAUAUUUUAAUAAAGCAGUUUAGACUACAUGAGUGUUUUCUUUAUUCUGGAUGAAUUACAUAUUCUUUUGUGUCUAGAAAGGGUAAAUAUGGGCCAUAUCUAAUCCAGAAGUCAGCCACAACUGGGACGGAUCUGGGCCACAUCUCAGAAAUGGCGUGGUUGACAUCUGGGCCAGGUGUUGCCCAUGCCAUUUGUGAGAUGCGGCAUGGAUCUGGUACAGUUGUGGCUGACUUCUGUCAGACAAAACUGGGCCAGAUCUGGCCCAGAUGUCACCCACACCAUUUCUGAGAUGUGGCCCAGAUCUGGUUCAGUUGUGGCUGACAUAUGUCAGCCAGACUCAGGUUGAGUCAUCGCCGUCAUUCCGCGCGGUAUGUGGGCCAGAAGAAUAUGGGAGAUGUGGGCCAGAACUGGGCCACAUGUCAUUUGCUAUCUGGGU